rnacentral:misc_RNA from 1 species
AUAUCCUUCAACCUUUCUUGGUUUCUCAACCAAGGAAGGCUUGGACUUUGGGGGUUAUUGCUGGCCUCAGUCGAAGCCAGCUCCUCCUAAAUGGAUUAGUGGGGUCUACUUUGCCGAUCCUUGACGUGAUAAGGAUUUCUUCUACGUCUUGGGUUUCGCAGUGUAACCGCUUUCUAACUGUCUUUGAAGAAAGACAAUGUUUUAUAAA